ACGAUUGUAGUUCAGUGGUAGAAUACCGGAUUGCCAUUUCCGGAGGUCAGCGGUUCGAAUCCGCUCUUUUGUC
rnacentral:tRNA from 1 species